GGAGCAAAACUCUCUCGAGAAUAUCAGCCCUCUCUCUCUAAAAAUUAAAUCAGGUCUUCAUCUAAAAUUCAUCCAAAUCAAAACCCCUCAAAUCAAAAUGUGAAUCUCAUUUGUUAGGUAUGUUCAACUCCCUAAUCUUUUCAUUUUUUGGGGGAAAAAAUUUGAUAAUCGAUCGAUUUCGUGUUGUGGCGGAAGAAUCAGAAUUCUAGAAAACGCUACUUUGUUCUUCACGAUCACCUUCUCAAGAACUUUAAGUCAGACCCUGUUUCAAACAACGAGGAAUACCAAAAAAAUCACACAAAAAGAAUCCUUUGAAGCGUAUUUGGUGUUGUUAUUGUCGAUUCUUGGUCUUGACAGAAUCUCAGCUAUCUCUUUUCCUAGAUAUGAUGGAUAAAAGUUGGUUGAAUAUAAGGAAUAGAGUCUACCAAAGGUAUAGAGAUGGAGUAGAUAACUUUCUUAAUUGGGC